rnacentral:rRNA from 1 species
GAUGAACGCUGGCGGCGUGCCUAAUACAUGCAAGUAGAACGCUGAAGGAAGGAGCUUGCUCUUUCCGGAUGAGUUGCGAACGGGUGAGUAACGCGUAGGUAACCUGCCUGGUAGCGGGGGAUAACUAUUGGAAACGAUAGCUAAUACCGCAUAACAGUAGAUGUUGCAUGAUAUCUACUUAAAAGGUGCAAUUGCACCACUACCAGAUGGACCUGCGUUGUAUUAGCUAGUUGGUGAGGUAACGGCUCACCAAGGCGACGAUACAUAGCCGACCUGAGAGGGUGAUCGGCCACACUGGGACUGAGACACGGCCCAGACUCCGACGGGAGGCAGCAGGAGGGAAUCGGCGGCAAUGGACGGAAGUCUGACCGAGCAACGCCGCGUGAGUGAAGAAGGUUUUCGGAUCGUAAAGCUCUGUUGUAAGAGAAGAACGAGUGUGAGAGUGGAAAGUGCACGCUGUGACGGUAUCUGACCAGAAAGCGACGGCUAACUACGUG